GACGUAGGGCGCGAGCGUUGUCCGGAUUUAUUGGGCGUAAAGAGCUCGUAGGCGGUCUGUCGCGUCGGCUGUGAAAACCCCGAGGCUCAACCUCGGGCCUGCAGUCGAUACGGGCAAACUAGAGUACUGCAGGGGAGACUGGAAUUCCUGGUGUAGCGGUGAAAUGCGCAGAUAUCAGGAGGAACACCGGUGGCGAAGGCGGGUCUCUGGG
rnacentral:rRNA from 1 species